CUCUCCAAUCAGAGCCGUAGCCUAACAAGUUUGAGCAACAUGCCGACCAAUGGCAACGUCAUGUGGGCGUGUGUUCAAAGGUGAGGUGCUUUUUUGAGUUUAGUAAAUGACUGCAGCAAGAAAUACAGUGGUGGUCUGACGUGAGAGCGCUGAGCUAUAGGAGGCAAUGGAAGAAGGGGCUAAUCGCAUCCCGAUUUCACUCAAUUUGACAUUAUUACGAGGAAUCUAAAUGCAAGAAGACGAAACCGAGUUGUGAGUCCCGAACUUGACCGGACAAUGGAAGUAGCUCUCUGCAGCAGUUACAUCUCACCCCUGGGAGUCAACUACCGAGACACGGCGAGUACCUGCAGAAAAACAUCAGUCAGCACGGCCGGGGUAACUACAACUACGUGUGGCUUGAAAGCAACACCUCUGUUUUUGGGAUGCAUAUAAGAGAAAGCGUUAAGAAAAAAACACUGACUACGUAUGUAUAUAUUUCGUGUAACAACUGUGCAAUUCCGCUACUGAUCUAGACGUAAGGGGUAUACAACCACGUAGUUAAACAUCUUCUAAAAUUGAGACAUUCAUUAMGACCCAGAGCACAUGCAUUGCCACAUUUAUCACUGAAGGAGGCAUGUUGAAAUUGACAAAUUCCCCUUGUAACAAAAUCCAAAUGGAUCGCAUAGAAUAAACGUCGGAAAUAUCUGUSAUAUCGUAGCCUAACGUGCUGUACCCUCAAAGCAACAAUAACCUGGGCUGAGUGAAAUUCCACAAACCGCGUUUGCCGCUGUCCGUUGUCCUGAAAAAGUACUCAUUAUUUGGGUUAUCCGAAUCAAUAACGGAAGAGGGUUUCAUGGCCUGGGCGGUUACGAACAUCUUSUGGUUUUCUUGUGACUCUGGAAUCUGAAAAACAACAACAGAAGAAUUGCUCACCUUGGAGGUCCGAAAUCAUUAAAGAAAUUGGAAUUCUACUAUUGGUGCUCCUGGAGCUGUAGGUAGCCCGAAUGAGACCGGCAAAAAUGUACCGAAUAAACGCUCUCGGGAUCUAUUUGUGGGAAACAAUAGUAUUUUUCAGCUUGGCAGCCUCUAAAGAAGCCGCGGCUCGAAAAGCUGCCUCCCCAAUGCCUCCCUCUGAGUUCUUGGACAAACUCAUGGGCAAAGUUUCGGGUUAUGAUGCAAGAAUCAGACCUAAUUUUAAAGACCCACAAGGCCCCAAAACAGAAGCUUCUCACAAGAAAGGUACUUUAUUUUUAUUCAUCACAGAAUAAAGUAUGCAAGUCAC